rnacentral:rRNA from 1 species
GUGUCAGCCGCCGCGGUAAUACGUAGGGUGCAAGCGUUGUCCGGAAUUAUUGGGCGUAAAGAGCUCGUAGGCGGUUUGUCGCGUCUGCUGUGAAAACCCGAGGCUCAACCUCGGGCCUGCAGUGGGUACGGGCAGACUAGAGUGCGGUAGGGGAGAUUGGAAUUCCUGGUGUAGCGGUGGAAUGCGCAGAUAUCAGGAGGAACACCAAUGGCGAAGGCAGAUCUCUGGGCCGUAACUGACGCUGAGGAGCGAAAGCAUGGGGAGCGAACAGGAUUAGAAACCCUAGUAGUCC